rnacentral:rRNA from 1 species
AUGCAGACUGUUGAACUCAGGGUUGGCAUGUCAUGUGAGGGAUGUGUUGGAGCUGUUAAGCGGGUUCUUGGCAAAAUGGAAGGUGUUGAGUCCUUCGAUGUAGACAUCAAGGAGCAGAAGGUCACUGUGAAGGGUAAUGUGACGCCGGAUGCUGUUCUGCAGACUGUUUCGAAGACAGGCAAGAAGACAUCGUUCUGGGAGGCUGAACCCUCGGCAUCUGCUGUUUCGUCCUAA